AGUAUGGAGAUCUCAAGGAAAAGGGUCAAGGAAAAUUUGAUCUAAUUACCAAAGUAAUUGUGACGUGUUGAACGUAAUUGAACAAGUAGGCGAAACAUUAAGCAUUUUCUGAGCUCAUUCAGUCAGUUUGGCAAAAUGUCAUCAAACAGAAUUGCUACAUCUGCCGUUUUGGAUAUAACAAAGCUGCAUCGAAGAAGCGGAGAAGGUGGAAUGAAAAAUGCCAUGCAAAAAAACUUAUUGAAGGCACAGUUUAAAACGAAUGCAUUGCUUGGUGCAUUGGCAAUCAUUCUUCAUUGGAUUAUGUGGAUUUUGAAGAUUGGGCCAUAGAAGAUAAAUUGUUCUUCAAAUUUUCAAUAUGUCGAGGAAAAAUCUGACCGUC